UGGGUUUGACAUCCUGUGAAUUUUCCAGAGACGGAAGAGUGCCUUCGGGAGCACAGAGAC
rnacentral:rRNA from 1 species